AGCGGCGGACGGGUGAGUAAUGCCUAGGAAUCUGCCUGGUAGUGGGGGACAACGUUUCGAAAGGAACGCUAAUACCGCAUACGUCCUACGGGAGAAAGCAGGGGACCUUCGGGCCUUGCGCUAUCAGAUGAGCCUAGGUCGGAUUAGCUAGUUGGUGAGGUAAUGGCUCACCAAGGCGACGAUCCGUAACUGGUCUGAGAGGAUGAUCAGUCACACUGGAACUGAGACACGGUCCAGACUCCUACGGGAGGCAGCAGUGGGGAAUAUUGGACAAUGGGCGAAAGCCUGAUCCAGCCAUGCCGCGUGUGUGAAGAAGGUCUUCGGAUUGUAAAGCACUUUAAGUUGGGAGGAAGGGCAGUAAGAUAAUACCUUGCUGUUUUGACGUUACCGACAGAAUAAGCACCGGCUAACUCUGUGCCAGCAGCCGCGGUAAUACAGAGGGUGCAAGCGUUAAUCGGAAUUACUGGGCGUAAAGCGCGCGUAGGUGGUUUGUUAAGUUGGAUGUGAAAGCCCCGGGCUCAACCUGGGAACUGCAUCCAAAACUGGCAAGCUAGAGUACGGUAGAGGGUGGUGGAAUUUCCUGUGUAGCGGUGAAAUGCGUAGAUAUAGGAAGGAACACCAGUGGCGAAGGCGACCACCUGGACUGAUACUGACACUGAGGUGCGAAAGCG
rnacentral:rRNA from 1 species